CGUACGAUCACCGAAGUUAAGCAACGUUGAACCUGAUCGGUACCUAGAUGGGUGACCGCUUGGGAAUAACAGGUGCU